rnacentral:lncRNA from 1 species
AGGUUAGACUGAGAGUCAGAACUUCAGGUUACAAGCAGGAUGGAUGGACUAAGUAUUUACAAGAAGCAGAAUUUGUGCCCUGAAAGAUCUAGGCAAGCAUUUGUAUCCCUCAAGUGCACUAGUGUUGCAGGUCUGUGGUCCAAGGUGGUGGAGCUGCGGACUGAGGAGAUAAACCCUUCAUUUCGAGUGCCCACUGGGCUGUCGUCCUCCUUCACUGCUUUCAGGAUCACAGCACUGACUGAAUCGUUCACGGGGACCGUCACUAGGGGGAAAGGGUAUGAGGAAGUAGUUAGCGUGAGCCAAGUGAAACCAAGGAGGUGUGUGAGCAAGGGAAGCCACAGAGUGUGGACAGCAUGCGCCCGCUUCUGUAAAACAAAGUACAGAGAUCCUGACUGGGUACCCAGGGUGCCACAGGUCUGUGACUCCAGGUGGAUGGCUGGACCUGGAUUUGGGUACAAUUGUAACCCUAAGGUGGGUAACGGGGACUCAAUUGUUGGUAUGGUGUUGAGACCUUCCCUGGAACACUUGUGCAUUUCUCGCAAGAAUAUAAAAUGAUGUAGCUGCCUUUUGAAAAUGUUUGGCAUCUAAUCAACUAAACAGAGUCACUACUGUAUGACCCAGGAACUCCACUCCUGGGUAUUUAUCUAAAGGAAUAAAAACCUUGACUCCCCACAAAAAUCUCUACAUGAGUGUUUAUAAGAGAAUUAUAAUAGUAGCUCCAAAUCGACUUUGAAUAAAUAACGAAUAAAUAAAGAAAAUGUGGUCUACUUUUACAAUGGACUGUCACUUCAAAACAGGAAUGAAGUAUGGAUUCCCGAACUGCCGUCAGAGAGACCUUGGAUAGAGUGUACUCUGUGAAAGAAGCGGACACAGAGGUCACGCACUGUCUAAUCUCCCGUAUGUGAAAGGUCCAGAAUAGGCCACUCUGCAGAUACAGGAAGCAGGAAGCUGUGCCAGGCCUGGGGGGAAGGUGUGAGAAGGAAGUGGAGUGAGUGUGAAUUGGCUGCUGCUGCUUUGGAAGUGACCGAGAUCUUCUGGAACAGUGAUGACAUCUAAGCCCUGGAAUGAAUCAAAGCCUACCAGGGUGAAUUUUAUGGCCUGAGAAUUUCAUCUCAAUAAAACAUUUUUGUU